rnacentral:rRNA from 1 species
CGGCCCAGACUCCUACGGGAGGCAGCAGUGGGGUAUUUUGGACAAUGGGGGAAACCCUGAUCCAGCCAUCCCGCGUGUGCGAUGAAGGCCUUCGGGUUGUAAAGCACUUUUGGCAGGAAAGAAACGUUCCGGGUUAAUACCCCGGGAAACUGACGGUACCUGCAGAAUAAGCACCGGCUAACUACGUGCCAGCAGCCGCGGUAAUACGUAGGGUGCAAGCGUUAAUCGGAAUUACUGGGCGUAAAGCGUGCGCAGGCGGUUCGGAAAGAAAGAUGUGAAAUCCCAGAGCUUAACUUUGGAACUGCAUUUUUAACUACCGAGCUAGAGUGUGUCAGAGGGAGGUGGAAUUCCGCGUGUAGCAGUGAAAUGCGUAGAUAUGCGGAGGAACACCGAUGGCGAAGGCAGCCUCCUGGGAUAACACUGACGCUCAUGCACGAAAGCGUGGGGAGCAAACAGGAUUAGAUACCCUGGUAGUCCACGCCCUAAACGAUGUCAACUAGCUGUUGGGGCCUUCGGGCCUUGGUAGCGCAGCUAACGCGUGAAGUUGACCGCCUGGGGAG